rnacentral:rRNA from 1 species
CCUACGGGGGGCAGCAGUGGGGAAUAUUGCACAAUGGGGGAAACCCUGAUGCAGCGACGCCGCGUGAAGGAAGAAGUAUUUCGGUAUGUAAACUUCUAUCAGCAGGGAAGAAAAUGACGGUACCUGACUAAGAAGCCCCGGCUAACUACGUGCCAGCAGCCGCGGUAAUACGUAUGGUGCAAGCGUUAUCCGGAUUUACUGGGUGUAAAGGGAGCGCAGGCGGCACGGCAAGCCUGAUGUGAAAGCCCGCGGCCCAACCGCGGGACUGCAUUGGGAACUACCGGGCUGGAGUGCCGGAGAGGUAG